AACGAACGCUGGCGGCAGGCCUAACACAUGCAAGUCGAACGCCCCGCAAGGGGAGUGGCAGACGGGUGAGUAACGCGUGGGAACGUGCCCAAAGGUACGGAACAACGCCGGGAAACUGGCGCUAAUACCGUAUGUGCCCGAAAGGGGAAAGAUUUAUCGCCUUUGGAUCGGCCCGCGUCGGAUUAGCUAGUUGGUGGGGUAAAAGCCUACCAAGGCGACGAUCCGUAGCUGGUUUGAGAGAACGACCAGCCACACUGGGACUGAGACACGGCCCAGACUCCUACGGGAGGCAGCAGUGAGGAAUCUUCCGCAAUGGGCGAAAGCCUGACGGAGCGACACCGCGUGAAGGAUGAAGCCGGUUUCCGGUGUAAACUUUUGUUCUGAGGGAUGAAAUUUUUGACGGUACCUCAGGAGAAAGCAUCGGCUAAUUCUGUGCCAGCCGCCGCGGUAA
rnacentral:rRNA from 1 species